ACACAUGCAAGUCGAACGAGAGAGAAGGAGCUUGCUUCUUCGAUCGAGUGGCGAACGGGUGAGUAACGCGUGAGGAACCUGGCUCAAAGAGGGGGACAACAGUUGGAAACGACUGCUAAUACCGCAUAAGCCCACGGGUCGGCAUCGACCUGAGGGAAAAGGAGCAAUCCGCUUUGAGAUGGCCUCGCGUCCGAUUAGCUAGUUGGUGAGGUAACGGCCCACCAAGGCGACGAUCGGUAGCCGGACUGAGAGGUUGAACGGCCACAUUGGGACUGAGACACGGCCCAGACUCCUACGGGAGGCAGCAGUGGGGAAUAUUGCACAAUGGGGGAAACCCUGAUGCAGCGACGCCGCGUGGAGGAAGAAGGUCUUCGGAUUGUAAACUCCUGUUGUUGAGGAAGAUAAUGACGGUACUCAACAAGGAAGUGACGGCUAACUACGUGCCAGCAGCCGCGGUAAAACGUAGGUCACAAGCGUUGUCCGGAAUUACUGGGUGUAAAGGGAGCGCAGGCGGGAAGACAAGUUGGAAGUGAAAUCUAUGGGCUCAACCCAUAAACUGCUUUCAAAACUGUUUUUCUUGAGUAGUGCAGAGGUAGGCGGAAUUCCCGGUGUAGCGGUGGAAUGCGUAGAUAUCGGGAGGAACACCAGUGGCGAAGGCGGCCUACUGGGCACCAACUGACGCUGAGGCUCGAAAGUGUGGGUAGCAAACAGGAUUAGAUACCCCGGUAGUCCACACCGUAAACGAUGAUUACUAGGUGUUGGAGGAUUGACCCCUUCAGUGCCGCAGUUAACACAAUAAGUAAUCCACCUGGGG
rnacentral:rRNA from 1 species